CCCCUAGAUGUUCUGGGCCGCACGCGCGCUACACUGAACAGUUCAACAAGUCUUAACCUUGGCCGAUAGGUCUGGGUAAUCUUUGAACGCUGUUCGUGAUUGGGAUAGACCUUUGCAAUUAUGGGUCUUCAACGAGGAAUUCCUAGUAAACGCAAGUCAUCAGCUUGCGUUGAUUACGUCCCUGCCCUUUGUACACACCGCCCGUCGCACCUACCGAUUGAAUGGUCCGGUGAAAUCUCGGGACGGCGGCUUGGUCGCUUGCGUCCGACUGCUGAAACUUGAUUAAACCAUAUCAUUUAGAGGAAGGUGAAGUCGUANCA
rnacentral:rRNA from 1 species